AGAGUUUGAUCAUGGCUCAGGAUGAACGCUAGCGGCAGGCUUAAUACAUGCAAGUCGUGGGGCAGCAGGGUGUAGCAAUACAUUGCUGGCGACCGGCAAACGGGUGCGUAACACGUACGCAACUUUCCUUUAGGCGGGGAAUAGCCCAGAGAAAUUUGGAUUAAUACCCCCAUAAUAUUUUGAGAUGGCAUCAUCUUAUUAUUAAAGCUUCGGCACCUAAAGAUGGGCGUGCGGCUGAUUAGGUAGUUGGCGGGGUAACGGCCCACCAAGCCUACGAUCAGUAGCUGAUGUGAGAGCAUGAUCAGCCACACGGGCACUGAGACACGGGCCCGACUCCUACGGGAGGCAGCAGUAAGGAAUAUUGGUCAAUGGACGAAAGUCUGAACCAGCCAUGCCGCGUGGAGGAUGAAGGUCCUCUGGAUUGUAAACUUCUUUUAUUUGGGACGAAAAAAGGGAAUUCUUUCUCACUUGACGGUACCAGAUGAAUAAGCACCGGCUAACUCCGUGCCAGCAGCCGCGGUAAUACGGAGGGUGCAAGCGUUAUCCGGAUUCACUGGGUUUAAAGGGUGUGUAGGCGGGCAGAUAAGUCAGUGGUGAAAUCCCCGAGCUUAACUUGGGAACUGCCAUUGAUACUAUUUGUCUUGAAUGUCGUGGAGGUUAGCGGAAUAUGUCAUGUAGCGGUGAAAUGCUUAGAUAUGACAUAGAACACCCAUUGCGAAGGCAGCUAACUACGCGAAUAUUGACGCUGAGGCACGAAAGCGUGGGGAUCAAACAGGAUUAGAUACCCUAGUAGUCC
rnacentral:rRNA from 1 species